rnacentral:rRNA from 1 species
UGAGGAAUUUUCCACAAUGGACGCAAGUCUGAUGGAGCAAUGCUACGUGAAGGAAGAAGGUCCUUUGGAUUGUAAACUUCUGUUCAUCAGGAAGAAAAAAGUAAGCGAAAGUUUGCUCUUGACGGUACUGAUGUAGAAAGCCACGACUAACUAUGUGCCAGCAGUCGCGGUAAGACAUAGGUGGCGAACGUUAUCCGGAUUUAUUGGGCGUAAAGGAUGCGUAGAUGUUAUUGUAAGUUAUUAGUAGAAAAUAGAAGCUCAACUUCUGGCGGCUAAUAAUACUAUAAUAAUUGAGGGCAGAGGAGGUUGACGGAAUUCUGUGUGGAGCGGUGAAAUGCUUAGAUAUACAGAGGAACACCAAAAUAGGCGAAGGCAGUUAACUAUUCUGUUCCUGACAUUGAGGCAUGAAAGCGUGGGGAGCAAAACGGAUUAGAUACCCGUGUAGUCC